AAGGAAGAAUAGAACGUUUGCACUUGUCUGGAUAUCUCUCUCUCUUUCUUUCCUUCUCUAUUACUCCCUGUCGCCAUUUCUACUCUGUCAAGAAGGGGCGGCACACUUUUGGCAGGGUUACACUGGAUUAUUUCUGUCGCUUUAUUCUCUCGAGGUCUGGCAGGGACCCGUUUUCUCUACAGCUGAGCAAGAUAUAGUACAGCGUGACCACAAACUUUUUGCCACAAGUACUGUCACAACCCUUCUCUCGAUGUCUGAACUUUGUAGCUCUGCAUGUUGCUUCCUUCAACGAAGAGAGGCGAGAACACUCCAAAUGGGAUUUGAGCUCUUCAAAACAAGCGUGAAUUGGUUCUAUUCACCUGCAGGGUUGCAUAGCAAAAGUGACUUUCCUUCAGGUUUCCUUUAAGUGUUUCUGUUUGAAAAUACAUAUUGCAGUAAGACGACCAAAAUGGUAGAUUGUGCACUUUUGUCAAAAAAGGCUAAAUAUGGAAUAGAUAUCAAAACGGAAAAGCAGGCAAAACCACGACAGCUAAAGAUGCUGCUAUGACUUUUGUCAAAAGAGGACUUGAGGGGCAUGUACUACCAGGGACAGACGCCAAAUACUGACAAAGACUUCACUAUGUUUUCUUUCAGGAGGCUAACGCUUGAUUUCAGGAUGUGUCUCAAAUCUUCAACGUUAUCCUGGAAAUCUAGCGUGGCUGAUUGAGGUGAUCACUCUUAAACACAUGCUGAAGUGGGCAGGCAAAUAGGAGGGCAUAGCCGAAUCUGCUCAGUGUUGGCAGGGGCCCUUGUGCAAGAAGGGUUUGCACACCUCUCUCUCUGCCUUUCCCUUGUCUUGUGAGAGACUGAGACGUGGAAAUGGUCUCGUCUCUCUUCCUCCCCUCCGUUUUUUAUCUCGUUGUUACAGUACUUCCCCUUCAAGCUUCGUCUGGAGUCUCCUGCAGUGUCCGAAAAAGCUCUCGCUCAGCUAAUGCUGCUAAUUAUACAGGGGGACCUUCUAACUAGGUAAAUAAUGAAAAUAUUAACUUUCGUUCUCAACGUUUUUUUUUUUUUGUGUUUUUUUUUUUUUGCAUUAUAUUUUUUGCAUUGUCCAAAUGCUUGUCUGUUGCCACAAUAUAUAUGUAUAUAUACGUGAUGUAAUGUACUUGCAUUAUAAUAUGCAUUAAAUUAAUAUAUUUAUAAUUAUUUUAAUUAUUAUUUACUAAAUUAUCUUUAUUUGGUGUAUAUAUAUAUAUAGUGUAUAUACAGACUAUAUGUAGUGUAAAAUGUUUAUAUGUAUACUAUAUGUUCACUAUAUAUUUUGAUCAUCAUAGACAAAACAUAAUACAAAGAAAUGUACAACACAUACUUUGCUCCAUCUAUUUGUUUCAUCCAUUAAUGAACUAAUAAUAUACAGCAGAUUAUAUAUUCCAUUUCCAUAUCAAACCACCUCAUGUUUAAUUAUCCAAACCACUUUUAUUUCAUUAUCAUUUGUCAUCAAAUAAUCUUAUUUCUUUUUUAGAAGAAUAAACUAAAUGAAAGCUUCCUUUAAAGCUAUUAAAAAAAAUGGAGGGAGGGAGGGAGGGAGAAAAAGCAAUAGGACGGUGGGUGGGGUAAUAGAUAAAAAAAGGAAAACACUUCCUUCACCCCUCCCUCUCUAUCCUCAGAUGAACUUACUUGAUGAUUUUUAUUUUUUUUUUCUGGCUUGCCCUCUCUACUUCCUGCUAUUUUGUGCUCUCUCUCUCUCUCUCUCUCUCUCUCUCUCUCUCUCUCUCUUUGUGUCGGCGUGGUAACCAGGAACAAAGUCACAGGGCCUUUAUCAGGAAAUGUAUUUCAGAUAUCACCUCCACUUGCGAGGCAGUAACAACAUAAACAACGUCGCAUUAUGAAGAAAAGGACAGUGUGGAUAGCAACCUAACCCUCGGAUGUUCAGCUGUUGUAUGACUGUAAUUUCAGCUGCCUGACACUAACCAGAACAGGCUGCCUCCUAAUUUUGAAAAAGAUAUAGCAGUAUAAAGUGAUCAUGACUGCCAGUGGACGAAGAAAGCACCCCCAAAAUAUGAAGUGGGAAUGACAGCUAUGGAUUCACAGUCUAUGGAGGUGGAGUUGUAAUGUUUCAGAGUGUUAUGGCUGUACCAUCCAAACACUGAUAAGAAGCCCAGUAUGGCUGCCAUUAUCUAGAAUCCAAGAGCGCUUUUUGGUGACUGUAGACUUACACCUGCCAUAAAAAGUAAAUAAUAACAAUAAUAAUAAUUUGAAUGCAACAUUUUUUAUAAUAAAAAGCUGCUAGAGUCUGUAUGCAAUCAAAAUGGACCAUUUUAAUGUCCAAUUUUUUCACAAUCCAAUCAAUUUCUGAAGCAUAAAAUCAAGUCCCUGCAUUUUUUCUCUGUAAUAUACUGUUUUGCCCUCCAGAGUUUCCUGGUUCACUCGUAAAUAUGCCAGAUCACGGAAGUAAAAUGGGUUGCGAACAGCAUUUCACGUUGACCUUAAGGUUAAUUGGAUGGUGAAUGCUGAAACUAUGUCAUUAUGUUUGUGGUGUGCAAACUCUGCAAACACAUAAGGGUGUAUUUCAUGUACCAUGGGCUGAUUUUUAGUAAAACAAACAGUAAUUUUACUUUUUGUUAUUUGAAGUUCUCAUUAAAACUGAAUUGGAAACUUGUUACCAGACCUUCAUCAUUUCAUUUUGGUACUUUUCAAAUGCCUUUUAUGUAUAGAUUUGACUGUUUUAGCCUCGUCCCGCAGACCCAGACUUUCUAUAUUAAACUAUGAAAAUCCAUUAUAAAAUACACAUUUUUACAUCUAUAAAACUAUAAAAAUCUAAACAAAGAGUGAA